CAAAAUCGUUGUCAGAACUUUACAGACGAUUCACGAUAGUCUCAAACGAUAAACAUACAUGUACAGUGCAACAUCCAGACGUAUUAAUGUGUUGUCAGUCUCUGGGGAAACAAAACAUUUUGAGUUUUCCGAUGGUUUGUGCUUGACAGAAAUUGUCAAUUCUGUCAAACGGAGAAAUGUUUGGAGGUUUUGUAGUCUUGGUUGCAGGAAAAUACGUAUAUGAAUUACACACUUUGCCCAAGUGUGAGUGACAAUCUCAAAAUGCAGCUUUAUUUUACAAAAUUUCGCAUCGAGUUGUAAGUGUAAACUAAGUUCCGACAUACAAUUUCAACAUUUGGACCUUCGGAUAUAUAAAGCACAUCUUCAGGUUAAAAGGCAGUAGCCUACAGGUUUGAAGGAAAAUCACUCGACGUUGUUAUUCAAGCUCCGUUGAGAAAUGCAGGCACAACAGCUAUGUUAAUGUAUAUGUGCUGCCGAAGCAAGCACGAACUGGAAGCCUGGAUACUGUACUUUAAUACCCCGGUCCCCCAGAUGCUUAUUUGAUAGCUGGUUUACCGUAGUAUUCUUGUCAGCUCCAGACCAGCUCCAUAUGCAAAGAAACUCCGGUCUGCUAGCUGGGAUUGGAAGGCUGAGUGUGACGUAGAGGAUCUUUUGUUACACCCCACAUACCAUCCCCCUACAUACACAUGACACAUCCUCCCCCCGGGGUAAAGGUCGGUUUGCAUACCCAUAGCACUUACUCAGAGCCCUGGUAACGACACCAGGAAGCUUUCGUUUCAGAGCACAGCAGGCAGUGAAACUACCGAAUGAGAUAUUUGAAGUUUGAGGGAAUCGCAACAUUCGCAGCCAUUUUUAAUCUCUUCUGUCUGUCUGAGUUGUUGUUACUUUAGUUUAGCCACUAGAGGCUUUUGUUCUGAGAUCAAGAACAGUCCCGGCCACUUACAAACUUCAUUCCAAUGUUUUAACAUUUAACAUUCUCAUGUAUAGUGUAAAAUGAGUUUUACAUUGUUAGGCUUAGAGCAUUUACACAGACACGUUGCUUUAGACAAAAUAGCUGUGAAAUAAAAAGAAUGAUCUGUAGAAAUUGCAGUGCCAGACACAAUCGACAAAAGAAACAGCACAGCAUCAACAUGCCUAAAAAAUAAUACAAAAUUAAAUGCAUUACAAAAGGGAAAAUAUGCACAAAGUUGUAUUGGACAGAUUUAGACUUAUACAUUAUAACUAAAUUAUACAUCAAGAUAUCACAUUUGUAAUUUAGCUUGUGUAAGAAAAUUAGCCUGUGUGACGUGUGCUACCCAUAAAGAUGUUUUACUGUCAAAAAGCAGAAGUUAAACGCAUAUGCUGUUGUUCAAAAGUUUAGGGUCACCCACUUACCUGACUAAACAAAUUCUAAAACAAAUUAAAACCAUGUUGUAUUUAGCAUCUUCAGUGUAGUCUCUCAUUGCCUAGAGUUUGAAGAAAUGUAUUAUUGUCAUUUCAUCAGCCAGUUGUUAGAUGUCUCAUCCAGAGAUGUAAUUUAAACAGUAUUGAAAGAGUUUCUAUACUGGGCUCUUAUAGGCUGCUUUUCAUUCCUUAUUGAACCAAAGUCAUUCAUUUAAAAAAAGUUUUUGUUUUGUAAUGAAAAAAAUAAUGUUUACACAAUUAUAUAUUUGUCCACAAAACUAUUCCAGACAUUCAAGUGUGUUUCCAUUCAAAGUAUUAACAUUAUUUGUCAUUUUAUUAUUAAAAUAAAUAUUUUAUUAUUUUAUCUUUAAGUAUUAAGGACCUCACAAGCAGCAACACUAAAAGACGCCCGCAAAAUGCGAAUAUCAAGCAAUAAAUCGCACUCAUGAAACAAUUGCAACAAUUCAGCGCUACUUAAACGGUGAAACAAUUCAGCGCCACUGAAACAGUGAAACAAUUCGCAACAACUUAAUGACGCGCCGCGCAGACCAUUCGGCAUAUUACAUCAAGUACCGCGAGAUCGAUGCGAAAGAUGUGCAUUCGAAUAAUUCUCGCGAAUCUUCAUUGUCAUACCAGUCUGCGCUGCGCUGCAUGAAGUAGGCGGUAGUAGUAGUUUUACCCUUGCGUGAUUCGUCGUUGUAAAUUGUUUCAGCGUACUUCAUAGGUCGGCUUCUUUAAAAGUAGGCGGUGUUUCAGUUUUACUCUUGCGUGAUUCGUCGUUGUGAAUUGUUUCAGCGUACUUCAUAGGUCGGCUUCUUUAAAAGUAGGCGGUGUUUCAGUUUUACUCUUGCGUGAUUCGUCGUUGUGAAUUGUUUCAGCGUACUUCAUAGGUCGGCCUCUUUAAAAGUAGGCGGUGGUAGUAGUUUUGCCCUUGCGUGAUUCGUCGUUGUGAAUUGUUUCAUUGCACUUCAUGAGCGCUGUUACUUUAUAUCCCAUUUUGGGGGCGUGUUAUAAUGUUGCCGCUUGUGAGAUCCUCGAGUACGAGCUCAGUGAAAAUAACUUAAUUGAGACGAAUAAACGCUUAUUGACUUAUUGACAACAAUUGGCUUAUUGACAACAAUAUAGACAUCAUUCAUUGUGCUAUGGUCUUUGUGUUACAUCUCGAAAGGAUUUUUUUGGUCACAAUAAGGCAAAAAAGCAUGUGGACAUUUCCCUUACAAUAAAAGUGUUCUUCAAAACUGUGUUGGAACAGUUUUUCGAGGGUUAUUUUCUAUGCUAGCAUGUCCACGUGCAAAAUGCGAGGGUAUAUAGAAAUGGUUCACUGAGCUUGAAUAAAACCCGAACCUGAAUUCUACUGAAUACCUUUGGGAUAAGUCAAACAACUACACCCAUGUUGCAUCUGUAGCGGAUAAACAUUUUAACAAGAGGACCCUUUUAUAGCAGACGAGGUAGAGAUGAAUACUUUAGGCAACACUUCUGGAAUUAAAUGUAAUACAUCUGCCUUCACUGCUAGAACAUCUUUGAAGCUUUGUGCAUCAAUCAUGUCAGGGGCGUAGCAGCCAUUUUAAAAGUGGGGGGGACAGUAAAGCUGCUGUUCAUAAUAAUACAUUCCAAAAUAGAAUACCAAUUGGCAUUUUACAGCACCCUAGUGGCAAUUUUGGGAACAUGCCAUGAUAGCUUACAUGAACCUAUAUUUGUGAAAUCAUACUCACAAUUUAAAAAUACUGCAGGACUUUGAAACCAAUGUGAGACCAUCUAUAGCCUACUUUAUUUUUAUGAAAUAAAGAUAUUUUAUGAUAGUUACAAUAUUUCAGUUACACUACAUUUGUAUUUUGAUGAAUAUACAGAUUACAUCUACACUAAUUUUAUACAACAUACAUUUUAUGAAAAUAUAGCAAUAAAACCUAAAUCAAUGUAUUUACAAGUUUUUAAUAUUUUCAAGAUGGAAGUAAGUUAUUUAAUCAUACAUGGCCGUGGGAAGUGGGGGUGCUGUGGGUGCUGCAGCACCCACUGUUGGCGAGAGGGAGAUUUUUUUAAGUAAAAAUAUUUUGCACAAUUUAUAUAUUACUUAUGAAUAUUUUAGGAGAUUAUUUUUGACACACGUAGGUUAUUACGUGUAUUUUGGAUUUUAAUUUCAUUACUGUCUGUGCCUACCCAUCUCCGUGGCCUCAUCCGAGCGCACUUUCUCCGCCUUGCGUCUUUUGAAGACAUGGGUAAGCAGCACCAUGACCCAGAAUAGACUCACACACCUUUGGCUAAUGCAUGCCCACACAGAAAUUCUGAACUCCCUGGGCAUUCGUCCCCUAGCUCAUGAGAGACUUUGGACUCUAUUAUACAACCGGCGCAAUGCGCGACGCGAGUGUCUUUUGCUAUAGUAAAGAGCGCGUUGAUAUUAUGCGCAUACAGUAUUAACGGGAUGACAACGCGGGUUUGCUUAUCACAUACAUGAAUGCGAAGAAGCACAAAAACGCUUUUUAAUAUGAAAAAUUAAAGGAUUAAAAUGUAAAAGAUUAUUAUUGAGUCUCUUGGACAUAAAUGAUGACCGAUUAUGAGACGUUAGAAGGCGUAAAUAGCUGCUUCAUCUAAGUAAAUAAAUGCUUUACU